GAAGAACCACCGUUGCUGCUUGGUGUUGCUUUGUUUUUGUAUCGUUCUUCGUGGAGGUCCUCUUCUUCGCAUUCAGGAAUCUGCAAGAGCAUAGAAAGUAAUGAUUUUUCAUUCAUUUAUUUAAUCAGUGAAAAUCAUACCAAAACAAGAUACAGAAUCUCUUGAUUUUAGGAAUUUGUAAAGACAGAAUCAUGCGAAAUGAGAGUUUUUUUUGUUCAAAGUUUGUUUUUUUUUUGGUCAGAGCAAAAGACAGACAAAACUAGCUUGAGGUAUGUGUUUCUUAGUCUACGUUGACUAAUUUCUUGCUUUUUUACCAGCAAACAACACCAGAGGGAAUUGAGUUCUGACUUACAGGAGUGAAGUGGAGGGCUUGGUGAAGAGAUAGAACAGGAGAUUUGGAAGGAGAAGAUGAAGAUGAUGGAGCCAUUUCUUU
rnacentral:lncRNA from 1 species